rnacentral:lncRNA from 1 species
UAUAAUCGAUGAAAAAUAAUAAUGUACUAACAUAUUUGAAAAAACAAAAUAGCAAAUAAAAAUAAAUCUGAAGUACACUGUAGGAAUUAACAAAAAAGAUAGUUCAAUAGUAUCUUUGUAAAAAAAAUACAAAAGUAUGAUACAGCGAACAAAAAUAAUGCUGAGCGGAUGUUUGUUUCACCAAAGUGAGUAGGGUUGAAGUGAUUUUCAACCAUAAAUAUCUACUUUUUUUUAUUUGGUUCAUUAUAACUUUACUUUUGAUCGAAAUUCA